rnacentral:rRNA from 1 species
CCUACGGGAGGCAGCAGUGGGGAAUUUUGGACAAUGGGCGAAAGCCUGAUCCAGCAAUGCCGCGUGUGGGAAGAAGGCCUUCGGGUUGUAAACCACUUUUGUACGGAACGAAACGGUCUGCUUUAAUAAAGUGGGCUAAUGACGGUACCGUAAGAAUAAGCACCGGCUAACUACGUGCCAGCAGCCGCGGUAAUACGUAGGGUGCGAGCGUUAAUCGGAAUUACUGGGCGUAAAGCGUGCGCAGGCGGUUAUAUAAGACAGUUGUGAAAUCCCCGGGCUCAACCUGGGAAUUGCAUCUGUGACUGUAUAGCUAGAGUACGGUAGAGGGGGAUGGAAUUCCGCGUGUAGCAGUGAAAUGCGUAGAUAUGCGGAGGAACACCGAUGGCGAAGGCAAUCCCCUGGACCUGUACUGACGCUCAUGCACGAAAGCGUGGGGAGCAAACAGGAUUAGAUACCCUGGUAGUCCACGCCCUAAACGAUGUCAACUGGUUGUUGGGUGCAUAGUACUCAGUAACGAAGACUACGCGUGAGUUGACCGCCGUGGGAGGUACGGCCGGCGAGGUUAAGGUAACGUACAAUUAGUAAGUUAGUUACGGCGUUGAGACGUGCCGACGGACGACGACGAGGGGAGGAGG